GACAUGCCCAGACAAGUGUCAGGAGACAGUCUAUAUGUAUGGGUGGAGCGAUUGACUUGUUCAUUGUGCAAGAAAAUGGACUACUGCAUGUUUGUUUCUUUUGUGAGUGAUUGAUUAAAAAACCACACACACUCCCAUAUGCACCUCCUAUGAGCAAGUGCCUGUAACCAUUCAAACAUGCAAGGAGAAACCAAAUAAAAUCCUUAAACUGGGACCUGCUCUCUUGCUUCCGUUUCUCUAACCGGAAACUCCUACCACCAUUUCUACUAGUGCCCAACCGACCCUUGAGCAUCCCUUACACUCGUUCAGGUUCAGACCUGAUACACACAGACUCAUGGGGACUCGUGUCAUGGUGGGGACCUAAAUUGAGGUUUGGUCCUCCAUAGCAUGGAUUAAAAAUAGGCUAAUAAAUAAUUCACAUAUCAGACAAAAUUGCGUUGCAGAAAAUCCUUUAAAUUUUGAGGAAAUUCUAAGGAAUUCAGAGCAGAGCAACAUAAAAAUCAGAAAAAAAUAUAUAUAAUCGGGCCUGUUCUAGGCUUUUCCUUAUUUUUAUAUUUUAGACGGUGAUGAAAAAUGACUCGCCAUCUCCUCAUUGGAUGUGCCUUUAGAGAGAAAUGCAUCUUUACGGAUUACAUAAUGAAAGGCUUUCUGUUUUCAAUUUGAAUUAUUUCGUUUUAAAGUAGUAAUUUAAAGCUUUCUAUAGAUAUAUUUAUCAUAUUUGUGACUCAAUUCGUUGAGUUUCGGUUCAUCAUUGUGAAGCGCUCCUAUUCAAGACGAGACGGCAAGCGCAUCUGUUUUCCUAUUUAUUUUAAUAAAAGCACAACGUUUUGUUGAUAUUGUGAAUGCACACAGAUAACAGUAGACCCUUUACAGUUCCGAAUGAUGUAUUACUCCUACCUUUAUAAGCAAAAAUUACGGCAUAUUUUAAGUUGUUUCCACUAUCAAGAAAAAAAAUGCAAGUGACCGCUCUGGCGCCUCCAUGUCCUGCAAAGUGCGCUUCAGCUUCCACUCUUCACACAAACUAUUAGAUAUGCACCUAGCGCACAUUUAUAUAGUUCAAACAUUUAAACUAACAUUGUGAUAUGCUUGAACUGUUCUUAAGCAAUCUUAAGCAAGUCGUGAUGAUUUGAGAAGGCUAAAUUGAUCACUGUCUGCCGCUGGCCGCUUGGUUGUUACUUAAAAAAACCCAAAAAAUAAACAAACAAAAAAAAACCCUUACAAAUUUAACGAACAAAAAGUGCUUCAAACAUUUUUAUAAAUUAGCUUUAUAAAAAACGAAACAAAAUAUAAUCACUUUACCAUUACAUAUGAA